rnacentral:rRNA from 1 species
GAUGAACGCUGGCGGCGUGCCUAAUACAUGCAAGUCGAGCGAACAGACGAGGAGCUUGCUCCUCUGACGUUAGCGGCGGACGGGUGAGUAACACGUGGAUAACCUACCUAUAAGACUGGGAUAACUUCGGGAAACCGGAGCUAAUACCGGAUAAUAUAUUGAACCGCAUGGUUCAAUAGUGAAAGACGGUUUUGCUGUCACUUAUAGAUGGAUCCGCGCCGCAUUAGCUAGUUGGUAAGGUAACGGCUUACCAAGGCGACGAUGCGUAGCCGACCUGAGAGGGUGAUCGGCCACCAUGGAACUGAGACACGGUCCAGACUCCUACGGGAGGCAGCAGUAGGGAAUCUUCCGCAAUGGGCGAAAGCCUGAAGGAGCAACGCCGCGUGAGUGAUGAAGGUCUUCGGAUCGUAAAACUCUGUUAUUAGGGAAGAACAAAUGUGUAAGUAACUAUGCACGUCUUGACGGUACCUAAUCAGAAAGCCACGGCUAACUACGUG